rnacentral:rRNA from 1 species
GACGAACGCUGGCGGCGCGCCUAACACAUGCAAGUCGAACGAGCGAGAGAGAGCUUGCUUUCUCGAGCGAGUGGCGAACGGGUGAGUAACGCGUGAGGAACCUGCCUCAAAGAGGGGGACAACAGUUGGAAACGACUGCUAAUACCGCAUAAGCCCACGGCUCGGCAUCGAGCAGGGGGAAAAGGAGCAAUCCGCUUUGAGAUGGCCUCGCGUCCGAUUAGCUAGUUGGUGAGGUAACGGCCCACCAAGGCGACGAUCGGUAGCCGGACGGAGAGGUUGAACGGCCACAUUUGGACUGAGACACGGCCCAGACUCCUACGGGAGGCAGCAGUGGGGAAUAUUGCACAAUGGGGGAAACCCUGAUGCAGCGACGCCGCGUGGAGGAAGAAGGUCUUCGGAUUGUAAACUCCUGUUGUUGGGGAAGAUAAUGACGGUACCCAACAAGGAAGUGACGGCUAACUACGUG